AUGGGCCUGCGGUCGUCAGCAUGCUGCUGGCCGGGACGGGCUGCUGCAAGCAAGAGUCCUUCACCGUCCAGCUGCAGGGGCCGCCCGAGAGGCAGCUGGCUUCCCCGGGGAGGCGCCCGGGCCGGCACGGAGGAAAGAGAAGAUCUACCUGGGGUCGGCGAUACCAAGGACUCCCUGAACCAGGGUCUGCCGGGGGAGGGUGGCGGCUGGGUGGGCACUGGCAGGGUGCCGGCCUCAGUCCUCUGGGUGUCUGGAGAGCUCAGGAUCUUGGCUCCGACGCCGGCGAUGUUUUCCUCCUUUGGGUCCAGGCUCACGGUGGAGGCCGUGGGGCCAGUGGGGGUCUGGCCCUGCCCCACCUCCGGCCUCCCCAGAGGGGCUGUGGGGCUGGCAGAGACUUUCCACCAGUCGGUGGGAGCAUCCCGGGGGGCCAUGUGCGUGGUGGUAUCCUCCGUGGGCCACACAGGUGAGCUGUCCGGGGGCUUGGAGGCUGGCGCAGCUAUGGGCCAGGCACUGUUCCCAGGCCAUAGCCAGGAGAACAGGUCAGCCUGGGCGGUCGAGAGGCAGCAGGCAAGCAGCAGGAGGCCGUGGUGGCCGCGGCUGCUGCUGGGGUCGGGAGCCAUGGGGCUGUGUGCUCCGCAGAGCAGCAGGCCGCCUCUGCUGUCAGGAGGUGGGGCCAGCCCGCUCCCGCCUCCCGCUCCCCGCCCUCCAUCCCGGCCAGCAGCCAGCUCCCCAUUCAUCCAUCUGGGCGGCUCCUCCUUCCACCUUUCUACUUCAAGAGGGAAAACAGGCCAAUCUCCACACAAGGCAACAGGCAGCCCCCAAGAACGCCUCACACUCCUAGAAGCAGUGGAAGGCCUCCCCCGCCAGAGGCCAAAGGGCACUGGCAGAGCGGCCAGAGGAGUUCCCAGCUCCCUCCGCUGGAACCCGGAGGAGCCCUGGGCCCUUGCAGACUGCCAUUCGAGUCUCUGCUCGGGUAUGUGGGAACUGGGCGGGCUCCAGGCCAGCACCUUAGUCCCCUGAGGGUAGAGGGGGCUCCUGCAUGCUCUGAGGCUCAGGAAAGACCUCCUCCUCAGCCUACAUUCUGCAGAGCCCAGAGCUGAGAAAGCACAGGGCAUAGGCCCUCAAGGGCAUCUGCCCUAGGUAGGGCUAGGAAUCUCAGGAGGCAGGGGCGCAGCCCCCAGUCCCCCGUGCCCACCACCCUCUGCACUUGGAGCCACUUUGACUGGGAAAAGCCUGGAAGCCUGGCCUUGGGCCACAGCUCUGGAGCAAAGCUGGAGCUUGGAAACCACUGGGCUCGCUCUGAGUCCUUCCUCCUGCUGCAGCUGCUGAAAUGGUCAGCAUCCAGCCCCUGGGGCCUGCUCAGAGUCACCUGCUCCCUAACCCAUCUGGCUCUGUCCCCCCAUGGACACUUGGCUUCCCUCACUCCAUCCUGCCAGAGAUCACAGCCUCUUCUUCCCUUUCACUCUUAAAACCUGCUCAGUCACACCAGCCCUGUGUCUCCAUGGGCUGGAACCAAGGUCUCUGGCAACCCUGCCGGUGUUGGAGUUCUCAUGAGUAUUUCCCUCAGACCUGGGAGUUUCUGAUCAGCUCUUGAGAAUUGCCCCAAAGGAAGAGCACUGCAGCUGGGGCAGCUGGGAAUCUACAUGAAAGCAAAGGGAGAUUACGGACUUGAUGAGACCAAAGUCUCCAGACAAACGGAGAUCCUCCCCACUGCUCCCGCUGCUCAGAGCUCAGCCUCAGAGCAGGGAGGAGGGCUGGGCGAGCAUGCCCUGCCUGCAGGCCCUGGGCACCAGCCUCCUCUAGACAUCGCUCAGUGCCCCUUCCAGGGGCGUCCCACACUGGAGACACCGGCCUGCAGCUGGACUCCUCCCACCCAGUCCCGACUCCUUCCUUCAUGAAACCUCAAACCUGCCUGCUCAGUUGUGUCCAACUCGUUGUGACUCUAUGGAGCCCGCCAGGCUCCUCUAUCCACGGGAUUCUCCAGGCAAGAAUACUGGAGUGAGUUGCCAUUUCCUUCUCCAGGGGAUCUUCCCAACCCAGGCAGAUUCUUUACCACUGAUCCACCAGGAAAGCCCUCAGAUGAUACAAUUCCUCAUCCAGGACACUAAGGAAUGUGGCCCCAAGAACUUACGUCCUCCCAGAGCCCACUUUGGGGUAUGGGGAGAAGGCCCUGGUGCCAGAGCAGCUGUGCCUGGGACUCAUGGUUGGUGUGGGUGUCUGACUCGGAGGAUGCUGCCCCCUCCCCGCCCAGCACCUGCCCUCGGUGAUGCCCCUUCAAUCCCCCCCAGGAGGGGCCUCAGGCAGCAGCAGGAGGACGGGUGGGGGGGUUUUCCCCCAAUAAGAGGGCCCCAGGGCAGGACCAGCUCCAAGCUCUGUCCCAUCCUGACCACCUGAUGGGCGGUCUAUAAAGCAAUGUCCACAGUCAGCAGGCCAGGGCCCAGCUCCUGCCUUUACCAUGGGCCUGCACACAGCAUGGCCAGCAGCGCUCACGGUAAGGAAUCCUCGGCCAGCUGACCAGGGGCCAGAGCCUGGGAGACAGGAGCCCAGGUGAAUCCAGGCGGUCUACACACAUGCCUGCACAUGCCCAACACUCACUUCAGCAAACACAGGUGCUCCCUCCUGCAGGCUCACAUCAUCACACGCAAUCUCACGCCUCCCCACACACACACCACGCUCCACGCUAGACCCCAUGUGUGCCCUGCAUGCCUGGCACACCAGCUGCCCCUCUACCCAAGUUCCCCGAGAUCCCUGUCCACUCCAGGCUGUGGCUGGGCCCAGUUCAGGACAAGGAUGCUGUCGAUAAAUGCUGUCCAGGGGGCUGGGCAGCCUGGGGUCAAAAGCAUGGUUCAGGACGGCAGAACACCAGUCUUCUCUGGAAAGGGUGGGGAGCACUAUGUGAGCCGACAUCUGGGCCCCCUACCCAUCCCAGAAUUCUCAGAAACGCCCAGAGAACGUUCUUGCUGUUUACUGCCACUAAUGGGAUUUUAUGCCUGAAAGUCUCCGGAAAAUCUCAGGACAGAAAUUCCAGAAGCCCUUCCCCUUCUCCGGGCAUGUCCUGGAGGGAGACCCUGGGCCCAGUUGAGGGAGAGCCUCCGCGCCGUCAGCGUGGGGCUGCCCUGUUCGCCCUGGCCCGGCCUCAGCUACUCCCUGGGGCCCCGCAGCAGCCCCGGCCCCACACGCGCUCGUUCACCUCACCCUGCUUGGGAGAGCCAGGAGCACGGAACCGUGCUGCUGUGGCCCCCCUGCACUGAGCACCCACACCAUCCCCGGGAGACACCUCCACCUUCCCCCCCGACCCCACUCUUCCUGCCCACCUUCUGGAUGCCAAGGUCACCUCCCAGCACUCUGAGAACAUCACACGUCCACCUCCUCUGAGAACACCAGCAUGGCCCUGCCCCAGGCCUCGGCUCCCAUCGGGAAGCAACCUGCCGAGAUGCUGGGCUGAGACACCCCUCCCCCCCAUCACACACCUGUACACACGUUCAUGUGCACAGACUCACACGCACAUGCACACACCCCCACACACACAUGCCCAUGGGCACAGCAGCAUUCAGAAAGCCUGCGGUGUAGACCAGGCUCCCUGCUGGCUGUGGCUGCCACAGGCCUGCCUGGGCCAGCCCGUCGGGACACACAGGGUCUGAGCCUCAGGGCCCUGCGGAGGGUCCUGUGGGCGCUGGUUCCUCCGGAGUCCGUGCUCAACAUGGAGGCCGGAUAGUCUUCCCUGAGCUGCCCAUGGGGAUGGAGGAGGGGAAACGGGUUUUGAGGAAACCCCUGGAAAUGGCUGAAACACAGAUACCUCUGGGUCAGGACCCAUGUUUCUGGGCCCCCAGGUUAGGAGUGACCGGGAUCCGGGAAUUCCUGGUGAGCUAGGAAUUCACUGGGUCCAGGACCAGAAGCCAACAACAGCACGGUUCCUGCUGGGUCUCCUUCUGCAAGCUCUCACGCACCCCUCAAGGCCUCGUGCCCCAUGCUUACUGCCCUGCAGCUCCAGACAGGGCUGCCCUGCCUCAGUGAUGACGCCUCCUCCUCGAUGGUGUGGUAGCUUCUGUACUUUAUUAACCUGGUGUCCUCCUGUAUUCAGAGUCCAUGCUGCCACUACUUAAGUCAAGUUUUCCUGCAUGGGUUGGUUCCCCACCACCACCCGCCCCGCCUGCAGAACUAUCUCUGGUGACCUCUGACCUUUGAAAGACAUGGAGUUUCUGUCUGAAGUUUCUUGGACACUAUCAAAUACAAUGGUAUUUUAAUUUAUAGAAGAGAAUUCUCGACCCAGUGGAGAUAGGAAGGUGGUGUUGGGAAUAACAAGGUGGCUUUCUCUCUCACAGGUUCUGGGAUAUCUUGGGAAUCUUGCAGGUGUCAGGUGACCCCUAGCAAAGCUUCAAGUGGAUUCCCUUUUCUUCUCAUGCCAGGAACACCCCACCCCCACCAGGACACCCCACAGCCCUGGCUGAAAGGCCCUCCUUGCUCCUCCGCCCAUGCACAAACCAAGCGAACACCUCUACCCUGUUGAUGCCCCAAAGGGCUCACCAAGUGCAUGGGAGCCUGUGUGUCUAUAGGUGUGUGUCUGCGUGUCUCUGAUGGGUGUCCCAGUACAUCUCUGUAUAUGCAGUGCACGCCUGUGGAC
ensembl:lncRNA